GACGAACGCUGGCGGCGUGCCUAAUACAUGCAAGUAGAACGCUGAAGGAGGAGCUUGCUUCUCCGGAUGAGUUGCGAACGGGUGAGUAACGCGUAGGUAACCUGCCUGGUAGCGGGGGAUAACUAUUGGAAACGAUAGCUAAUACCGCAUAAGAGUAGAUGUCGCAUGACAUUUGCUUAAAAGGUGCAACUGCACCACUACCAGAUGGACCUGCGUUGUAUUAGCUAGUUGGUGAGGUAACGGCUCACCAAGGCAACGAUACAUAGCCGACCUGAGAGGGUGAUCGGCCACACUGGGACUGAGACACGGCCCAGACUCCUACGGGAGGCAGCAGGAGGGAAUCGUCGGCAAUGGACGGAAGUCUGACCGAGCAACGCCGCGUGAGUGAAGAAGGUUUUCGGAUCGUAAAGCUCUGUUGUAAGAGAAGAACGAGUGUGAGAGUGGAAAGUUCACACUGUGACGGUAUCUGACCAGAAAGGGACGGCUAACUACGUG
rnacentral:rRNA from 1 species